GCCGGGGUGGCGGAACUGGCAGACGCGAUGGAUUCAAAAUCCAUUUCCCGCAAGGGAGUAAGGGUUCGAUUCCCUUCCUCGGCA
rnacentral:tRNA from 1 species